GAAAAAGUAAAGCAAGCAAUUUUUAUAAAUACAUUCCCGUUAAAUAAAACUAGACAUUAAUAACACCUCGUUUUACUUAAACGAGAUUAAAACAUACUUUGGCGUUCGUCCAGAGUAGUUUUUCGUAGGAAACAUAAAAAUACAAUUUAUAAGAGACAUUGUGUGUUCCUCAUUACUUAUAGCCCAUUUCAGUUUAUUGCAGGUACAACUUACUCCGCAGAUGAUGGAGUCGGAGUGAAAGCUGAGCGAACAAAGCGAAGAGGCCACGAGGGUCGGACACUCCACAGCGAGGGCUCCGAUGAAUGUGGCGAGGCAAUUAGCAGUCAAUAGCCGGGGCAGUGGGCGCCGGGGCAGUGCGCGCGGCCUAUACACUGCUCAACGUGAACUGUUCACUUGUAGCAGCACGUGAAAUGUAUUGCUAUGUUCAAGUUUCAGCACUUGCAUUGAGAGAAAUAGUUGCUAACAAAAUUGUGACGGGCACAACAUAUUAUUAUAGUUUCUAUUUUAUGAAGUGUUGUAUUUUAUGUAGUUUUGCAAGUGUUUCAAUAAAUGAGGCCCUAUAUUA